GUCUAUUUGGUGGGUAAAAUAGUCUGGCCUGCUCACUGAUAAUUAUUUAAAGAGCCGCGGUAUAUUGACCGUGCAAAGGUAGCAUAAUCACUAGGUUUUUAAUUGGAACCUUGUAUGAAUGGUUGGACAAAAGAAAAGCUGUCUGUACUACAAAUAUUGAACUUAACUUUUAAGUGAAAAGGCUUAAAUAAUUUAAAGGGACGAUAAGACCCUAUAAAACUUUAUAUGUUAAUAAAAUUUAAUUAGAUUAUAAAAAUUUAAUUUUAUGUUAUAUUUUAUUGGGGCGAUAGAGGUAUAAUUUGUGUUAACUGCUUAAUAGUAAAACAAAUAAUAUUUGAAUAACUAUAAAUGAUCCUUUUUAAAGAUUAAAAGACUAAGUUACUUUAGGGAUAACAGCGUAAUUUCUUUUGAGAGCCCAUAUCGAAAAAGAAGAUUGCGACCUCGAUGUUGAAUUAAAAUGUCUGUUAAGGGCAGCCCCUUAGCAAGAAGAUCUGUUCGAUCUUUAAAUUU
rnacentral:rRNA from 1 species